AGCUUUGCGCCGUGGCAGUAUCGUAGCCAAUGAGGUUAAUCCGAGGUGCGAUUAUUGCUAAA
rnacentral:snRNA from 1 species